rnacentral:siRNA from 1 species
GAGGUAAUGUGUGAUGCGAGUGA